AGUACGUGAANCCGUUUAGGGGUAANCNUGAGAAACCCGAAAGGUCGAAGGGAGAAAUUCAUUCGCGUUUCGCCGUUGGCGUGAGACGGUCGUGUGACGGAAAACGUUCGCGCUUUCCGCACCUUUCGUUUUUCGAUCCGAUAGCGAACGCGUGCACUUUUCUCCUGGUAGGACGUCGCGAUCCGUUGGGUGUCGGUCUACGGCUCGCGGUGGAGCCCGGAUGUACGGCUUGCCGUCACGUCCGGACCCGUGUGUCCCGGCUGACUCGCUCGACGGUAUACGAAAGGUUUAAGGCCGCUCCUUGUGAGCGUUCGGCUCGUCGCAAGCGCGUCAGAUGUGUCGGUGAUCGGACCUAGUGCCGGUUCUGACCUCUGGCGACUGUUGGCGGCGAAGUUCUCGAACAGACUUUUGACCGAUCUGCGACGCUAUAGCUUUGGGUACUUUCAGGACCCGUCUUGAAACACGGACCAAGGAGUCUAGCAUGUGCGCAAGUCAUUGGGAAUCACUAAACCUAAAGGCGCAAUGAAAGUAAAGGUCCGCCUUGCGCGGACUGAGGGAAGACGAGCGGUUUACCCUUAAAAGUGGCCGCUCCGCAUUCCCGGGGCGUCUCAUUCUCAUCGCGAGAAGAGGCGCACCAAGAGCGUACACGCUGGGACCCGAAAGAUGGUGAACUAUGCCUGGUCAGGACGAAGUCAGGGGAAACCCUGAUGGAGGUCCGUAGCGAUUCUGACGUGCAAAUCGAUCGUCGGAACUGGGUAUAGGGGCGAAAGACUAAUCGAACCAUCUAGUAGCUGG
rnacentral:rRNA from 1 species